UCGAAGGAUCCGCUGGCUGUGUACCCUAUUGAUGAGUAACUUCUUGGGGGGAAAAAAAAAGCACAAAAACCCGAAAAGCCUUUCUUAGCAACAGGAGGAGAGGAAAACUUCUUAGCUGACGUCAAUGGCUUGCUCCGUUGGAACCCGUUGGGGUCAGCCCGUGCCCACGGCCGCGUGCGGUCCCCUGUAAUACAAAGGAGACGGCUGCAGCCGGGGCCGCUGGCUGCUCGAAGCGCGUAACAGCAGAAGGGCAUUGCAGAGCUGGAGCUGGGAGCCGGCGGCUUUGCCGAGAGAGCCGAGCGGGAAGGAAGAGUCGGGAAAUGCAGCAGAGCUGGAAGAAAACCUGAGAAUUGAUUUCUCGUCCGAGGGCUUAUCAGAGCACGUUAGCACCUCUUAGCAUCGUCUGCUUAGCGUGACAGUGAGCUUACAAAGGGUUACAUCAGUGGAACAAAAUGUGAAGCUGAUUUUCCUGAGGUUCAGCUCAUACAUUUUUCGAUAGGAAGCAGGUAUAAAAUUCCUCCUUUGAAAGCCUGCUGGCAGCAGCAGGUUCGGGAGACGGCAGGAUGAUCGAUCAGGCGUGGAAAUACCCCGCAGCGCGGGGGAUGGUGGGGAUGGUGGGGACCGGUCCCAUCCCCCGGCAUUGCCCUGGGCGUGCAGC